rnacentral:piRNA from 1 species
UGCGAUGUGUUCAGACCUAAAAAGNGUUGC